rnacentral:lncRNA from 1 species
UGGUAGUAUGUGUGUGUGUAUAAGCUUCAAUGAAGAAUGCUUAGAGCUUGUUCUAGAUGAUAUAGAGAAAAGGAUUGGUGAGAGUGUUUAUGAGUAUGUGAGAGACUUAAGAACAGAGAUUAAGAGACUUAAGAGACUAGAGAGAGACUGAGAGAAUCAGAGACUGAAGAUUAGUGUUUCAGAUUAGAGAAGGAGAAGGGAAACCCCCUUACUCACUUAAGCUUUACAAAACGCCACUUAUGAGUUUAUAUAUGCCUUUACAAGAACAAAUCAUAAACCUACAUCUAAUGGCUGAUAAUACUUGAAGUUUAAAUGGAUGGAUAGGAUGAGAUGGUCUUGUUCCUCUUGAUUCUGAUUGGAGUAAGCAGCUGGCGCCUUUGCUUUAAUUCAAACUGAAGCUGUGCUGUAAUUGGCUCUCCUUAGGCUCCUUUGUAUCUGUCCACAGGUCAGUCUAGGUGCAUGGUCGUGGCUGCUCUUCCUUUACAGCAACAGCCAGCCUGUCCAUGCCCCAAAGUAACCAAUCAGCUCCACACAGCAUCUUCUUGAUUCCCUUUGACUAGAUUCAAACCUUGGUGCCUUAUCCAUACACUAUUCACUCUUCACAUCCUGAAUAGUGACCCAAAUAGUGAAUACUCAACCUGAAUAGUGACUAGUGAUUCACUAUUCACUUUUACACCAACUUGCCCAAACUUCUCCAAUCUUAUUGUGGUAACUCUCCAAAGUUACUGUGGUAACUUUGGAGUUACUGUCUGACCCAAAUCUUCUCUAAAUGGUGUCUAAGUCAUUCCUAUCUUUGCACACUCAUCAGACCACUUCUGAAGCCUUAAGACUCUCCCAAAGCCUUCACAUGAUCAGUCUAAGUCUUUCCUAGACUUAACUCCCCAAGAUAACUACUUCAGAACCUUCUGAAGCUUGAUUGAACUCUUCUUGACAUCUUCUAGAGCUUUCCCUAUUGUUGUACAAGCUCUAUCUUCUCUUCAGUUCAACACUCCCCCUCAAGCUUGACUUUAGGAGAUCCUAAGCCAAGCUUGGAACUCUGAAGAGUCUCCCUCAUUAAAAACCUUACAAGGAAA